rnacentral:lncRNA from 1 species
AAUGUUAAGACACAGCGGCGUACAGUAAAGGAAAUCCAGCAGUGUAUGAGAGGUAAAAACAGUUGGCUUUGCGAGACGACCCAGUUUGGCCACGCAGCUCUUUGUUGCUGAAGUGCUAAUCUCGUCUUAGCGGAACGGAGAGAGGCCCUCAGCUGUGAGGAGUCUGAUCAUCAACCCGCCCGCCAAGGACAGGCCCGCCUCGCACAUCCAGCCGCAGGUCUUCAAGCUGCUGAGUCCAGGUCAGGGUUGCGGGGAGCUGAAGCCCAUCCAGGCAAGCCGGGGACUCGCUCCGGACAGGACGCCACUCCCCGCGGGCUUCGACCUCAUCUUCCUCUUCAGACCUGUGGGGCGCAUGGAGAGAAGGUUGAGUAUGAAGGAGAGCGGAGGUCCUCUGUGUGACUGGGAGGGGUGUGGGAAUGACGACCCUGCACAGGAUAGCUGCCGAAGCUCCUUGGCCCUUGAACCUCCUGAGAGCACAGAUUCCAGGUGAGUUUUGGUUCAGCCCUGGGGAAUAUAUUCCGACUCCCAUGGAGUACAAUUAAACCCGAGGCGGGAAUA